CCUACGGGAGGCUGCAGUCGAGAAUCAUUCACAAUGGGGGAAACCCUGAUGGUGCGACGCCGCGUGGGGGAAUGAAGGUCUUCGGAUUGUAAACCCCUGUCAUGUGGGAGCAAAUUAAAAAGAUAGUACCACAAGAGGAAGAGACGGCUAACUCUGUGCCAGCAGCCGCGGUAAUACAGAGGUCUCAAGCGUUGUUCGGAAUCACUGGGCGUAAAGUGUGCGUAGGCUGUUUCGUAAGUCGGGUGUGAAAGGCGCGGGCUCAACCCGCGGACGGCACAUGAUACUGCGAGACUAGAGUAAUGGAGGGGGAACCGGAAUUCUCGGUGUAGCAGUGAAAUGCGUAGAUAUCGAGAGGAACACUCGUGGCGAAGGCGGGUUCCUGGACAUUAACUGACGCUGAGGCACGAAGGCCAGGGGAGCGAAAGGGAUUAGAUACCCCUGUAGUC
rnacentral:rRNA from 1 species